rfam:Pseudomonas batumici strain TCM B-321 Contig_42, whole genome shotgun sequence.
CUACAGUUCGACUGUCGCUGCAAAUUCAGCGAUACGGGUUUUGCAGCCCGGAUC